GAAGCCCUGAGCCGCGUAACAACAACGAAACCGGGAAUUUUUUUUUAUCAAAUCCAACGGUCGAUCAUAUGCCCGCCUACGAAUUCAUACGCCGUCGUUGGGAUAUAUAUCUCCCUUCCUAAACGAGUAUCCUCUCUCCUACUUUUUAAUUUUCUAUAAAGCGAGCCGAUCCCUUCAUUUCUCUUCCUCCUCCUCCACCAUUUCCCUUUGCUAUUCUCAGCGCCCAAUGGGUACGGCGGUUCUCCGAUCCCACGAUUGCCUGAAAGGCCGCCUCCAUCUGGAGGCCUUCGGAUCCCGUCCCCCGCCGCCGGUAAAACCCUCGCGGAAGAAACCCCCACGUUCCUCCCCCUCCCCCUCGACCUCCCCGCCUCCUCCACCGCCGAAGGAUGGCCGGAGUCACCAGACGCGGAC
rnacentral:lncRNA from 1 species